GUGAAUCAUCGAAUUUUUGAACGCAUAUUGCACUCUCUGGUAUUCCGGAGAGUAUGCCUGUUUGAGGAUAAAUAAAAAGAGCCUUUACCAAUUUUUUUUGGUAAAAGGAAAUGAGUUUUCCGCGUUUAUAGCGGUAGCGUGAAAUAAAUGGUCAAGUCUCAUUUUAGUCGAGACGUGUAAUAAUAUUAUUUCUCAAAUUCUUCAUUAUGUGUAUAUAUAGUUUUGAUGCAUGCAAUUUUGGUUUGUAUGCGAUUAACAC
rnacentral:misc_RNA from 1 species